GCGCCAAUAGCUCAGCUGGAUAGAGUGUCUGACUACGAAUCAGAAGGUCGGGGGUUCGAGUCCCUCUUGGCGCACCA
rnacentral:tRNA from 3 species